CUCUAUUCCUCCCUCUAUUGGAAACCUGACCAGCUUAAUCUCACUCCGUUUGAGAGGAAAUAAUCUUCAUGGCAACAUUCCUGCCAGUCUAGCAAAAUGCCAAAAUUUGCUAGAAUUGGAUCUUUCACUUAACAAUUUCAGUGGAGCCAUACCCCCAGAAAUUAUGGAUCUUUCCACCUUAUCAAUCGUUCUUGAUUUGUCUUAUAAUCGUCUAAGCGGUUUUCUUCCCAAUCAAGUCCAAAAUUUGAGGAAUUUGGGUUAUUUGGAUGUUUCCAAUAACGUGCUGUCUGGUGAGAUUCCCAGCAGCCUUGGAGAUUGUAUACGUUUGGAAGUUCUGUACAUGGAAAGCAAUUUUUUCCAAGGGAUCAUUCCUUCUUCUUUGAGUUCAUUGAAGGGUCUUCAAGGGUUAGAUAUAUCUCGCAACAAUUUUUCAGGACAGAUUCCGAAGUUUUUGGCAGGGUUCAAGUCAUUACAAGUUUUGAAUUUGUCUUAUAACAAUUUUGAUGGUAUGGUGCCCAUUGAAGGAGUUUUCAAGAAUGCAACUGCAACUUUAGUUAUGGGAAAUCGCAAUCUUUGUGGUGGCAUACCUGAAUUUCAGUUACCCAGAUGCAGUUUUGAUAAGCCGAAGAAGAGAAUAAAUCUGACAAUGAAGGUAAUAAUCUCCAUAAUAUCUCUGCUUCUAGGAAUCACAAUUGUACUCGCUUGUGUAUUUUGUUGUUGGUCAAGAAAAAGAAAAAGAGAGAGUACAUCAGAUGCAUAUGGGAAUAUGUUAUUGGAGGUGUCUUAUCAAAGUAUCCUAAAAGCUACUAAUGAAUUCUCCUCAGCAAAUUUGAUCGGCACUGGUAGCUUUGGUUCUGUAUACAAAGGAAUUCUCGAUCGACAAGGAAUCAUUGUUGCUGUUAAAGUGCUUAAUCUUAUGCGUCAAGGAGCUUCUAAAAGUUUCAUAACUGAGUGUGAAGCCUUGAGAAAUAUUAGACAUCGAAAUCUUGUCAAGGUAUUAACAGCAUGUUCAAGUAUUGAUUUUCAUGGCAAUGACUUUAAGGCUUUGAUUUAUGAGUUUAUGGUUAAUGGGAGCUUGGAGGAAUGGUUACAUCCUCCUCCAAUGUUGGAUGAAAAGCCAAAAUGUCUAAAUCUUCUCCAAAGACUAAGUAUAGCCAUUGACAUUGCUUGCGCAUUGGAAUAUCUCCACCACAAUUGCCAAAUACCAAUAGUUCAUUGUGAUCUCAAACCGAGUAAUGUUCUUCUUGAUGAUAAAAUGACAGCACGAGUAAGUGAUUUUGGAUUAGCAAAGUUCAUUUCUAAAAGCAACUUUCAAUCAUCUUUGGAUCAAACAAAAUCAAUUGGAGUAAGAGGAACUAUUGGCUAUAUUCCUCCAGAAUAUGGUGUGGGGAGUGAAGUAUCUACAUAUGGUGAUAUAUACAGUUAUGGGGUGCUUUUGUUAGAGAUAUUCACCGGAAAGAGGCCCACAGAUGAUGUUUUUGGAGAAGGUUUAAAUCUUAUUGGCUUUGUCAAGAGAGCUUUACCUAAAAGAUCAACACAAAUUGUAGAUCCUAAUCUUCUUCAAGACGAGAACAAUGGCAUUCUUAAUGAGUGCUUAAUUUCAAUAUUUGAAAUUGGAAUCUCUUGUUCUGUUGAAUUGCCUCAAGAGCGUAUGAAAAUUAGUGAUGUUUUUGCUAAGCUCAGCACUAUCAAAAUCAGACUUCUAGGAGCGGCAGGAAUAUGAUAAAACAAAGAUGUUGUAAUUUGAUUAUCAUCAAUGUAAUGUUGACUUUAUGUCUAAUUCAGUGUGAACUUUGGAGCACAGUUCAAUAAAAACUUUUUAAUCCCCU
rnacentral:misc_RNA from 1 species